rnacentral:tRNA from 1 species
UAUAAGGUAUCAUAGUUAGGAAAUGAGUAGGAUUUUGAGUUCUAUAAUAAAAGUUCGAGACUUUUUCUUAUAG